rnacentral:tRNA from 1 species
GCGGACGUGGCGGAAUUGGCAGACGCACUAGGUUUAGGUCCUAGCGCCCUAACGGGCAUGGGGGUUCGACUCCCCCCGUCCGCA